rnacentral:lncRNA from 1 species
UGCUGUGAAGAGACCAAACACUACAGAUUGAAGCUGGGUUCCUGAUGGACACCUGCUCAUGUGCUUCUCUGUAAGUAUUUGCAUCGUCGCAGCUGCACGCACCCAUUUCGCUGAGAAUCACUCUUGCCUCCAUGGGGUCCUGUCCUAUGGACCACCCCUGUCUAGUUGGGAACUCGGUGCCAGGAGCUCAACUUGCUCCAGUGCUUCCCAUCCUACUAAGCUCUACGCUGACUACAGUGGUAGGUAACGUCUGUUUUCCUGCAAUGCUUAAAUAUUGUUUCUACCUCCACCUUCGGCAGCUAUGUGGCAGACAUUUAAUCAUUGUUAGGCA